CGUCGAGGACGACCUCGAUGCCGGCCCCGUGCAGGGCCGCGACGGCGCGG
rnacentral:ncRNA from 1 species